UUGGUGACUCCAUUCCUCCCAGAAGCAAUAAACAGCCUGGCCUCUCCCAUCCUCAGGCAGAAUGCUUAUGAUACUGUCAGCCCUAUGCAGGCAAAAUUUCCUUUUCUCCAAGUUUGUCAGACAGGGUGACUCAUUCUUCACGACCCAGGUUAACCCAAAUACACACAGGAGAAGAGUGAUAAAAUCCUAUGGGUCUGGAGGAGAGUGUGAGGGAAGAGCAUAAGAAAGUGGAAUGUUCUUGAGUCAGGGAGGUUCUUGACCCAGCCACGGAUGGUGACUGAGCCCUUACUGCACUCAGGUGUUGUGCUCACCGCUGCAGAGGAUAUGAAGGGGCUUGGCAAUGAAUUCUCCUUCAGCGAGCCCACUGUCUAGUGAGAGAGAUAAAACCAGACUAAAGGAGGAAAAUGAUCUUGUCUAAAGAGAGGUGCCUACUAAGUGUGGCAGGCACUAUGGUUACCUCCCCAGCAUUCUUCCCUUCCUACUCAUAGAACCCUGAUCUUAUUUAGGGAUGGAGUAGAAAUAUCUGGAUUUCAGAGAAGGUGGCCUCUGUCUGGAGGUGGGCACGUGACCCAGUUCUGCAGGAUGGAAAUGUGCCCGAGGGCUUCUGGGAAAGACUUACUGUGGCCAUCCUAGCCUCCUGGCUUGGAAGGGGGCAUGAAGGCUGAAGGCGCAGCAAUCUUGCAACCGAGAGAUAACUUGAAGACUAAUAGGCACCACGACAGGGAUGAUGCAUGAGAAAGAAGAAAAGAUUUGCCUGGAUCUUUAAUGACCCAUGGAGUAGCUGCCCACCUCCCAACUUCUCAAGGUGUGGGAAAAAUAACCUCCAGAUAUUUUGUAAGGCAACCGUUGGAUGUGUGUCCUGUUCUUGGCAGCUGCAGGCCUUCCUGACUGGUACAUUUGGAUACUGGGCAAGUACGGAAGAAAGAGAAAUUAAUCUCCAGUUGAAUGGAUUAGGGAAAAAUGUUGAAAGGCGUGUAACUUCAGGAGCACACAGGCUAAGUAGGGUGCGUCACACAAUGGGAUGUCAUGGGGCUGUGUUGAAGAAUGAAGAUGUCACAGUGUACUGAUCAGAAAGCCUCUCCAGAAUGGGCUAAUGCUGUUUUGAAGCCAAAAACACCUAAAAAGCUGCCUUGGACAAGAUUUCCCGCUAGGAUUCCCAAUGAGGGUGCAGCCACCAGCCGUGGGUCUAACCCACAGGUCUCUAAUAAAAGCAGAACAAAAGGUCAACAGAGACAGUCACGUACUUCUCUUCCAUCCAGCCAUCUGCACCCAUGAAGUUCCCACCCGGACCCUGUGGGCAUUUGGAAUUGCGACUCCUGGUCUGGUUAAGCUCAUCAUUUAAAAAAUAACAUUAGGGGCGCCUGGGUGACACAGUUGGUUAAGCAUCCAACUCCUGGUUUUGGCUCAGUCGUGAUCUCAGGGUCGUGAGAUCGAGCCCUGCAUCAUGCUCCGCUCUCAGCAUGGAGUCUACUUGGGUUUCUCUUUCCUGCUCCAUCUGCUCCUCCCCACUCUGUUUCUC